UGGGGAAUAUUGCGCAAUGGGCGGAAGCCUGACGCAGCGACGCCGCGUGGGGGAUGAAGGCUCUCGGGUUGUAAACCCCUUUCAGCAGGGACGAACACUGACGGUACCUGCAGAAGAAGCCCCGGCCAACUACGUGCCAGCAGCCGCGGUAAUACGUAGGGGGCAAGCGUUGUCCGGAUUUAUUGGGCGUAAAGAGCUCGUAGGCGGCUCGGUAAGUCGGAUGUGAA
rnacentral:rRNA from 1 species